UAGGGAAUCUUCCACAAUGGACGCAAGUCUGAUGGAGCAACGCCGCGUGAGUGAAGAAGGCUUUCGGGUCGUAAAACUCUGUUAUUGAAGAAGAACGUGUGUGACAGUAACUGGUCAUGCAGUGACGGUAUUCAAUCAGAAAGUCACGGCUAACUACGUGCCAGCAACCGCGGUAAUACGUAGGUGGCAAGCGUUGUCCGGAUUUAUUGGGCGUAAAGCGAGUGCAGGCGGUCUUUUAAGUCUGAUGUGAAAGCCUUCGGCUUAACCGAAGAAGGGCAUCGGAAACUGGGAGACUUGAGUGCAGAAGAGGAGAGUGGAACUCCAUGUGUAGCGGUGAAAUGCGUAGAUAUAUGGAAGAACACCAGUGGCGAAGGCGGCUCUCUGGUCUGUAACUGACGCUGAGGCUCGAAAGCGUGGGUAGCAAACAGGAUUAGAUACCCUGGUAGUCCACGCCGU
rnacentral:rRNA from 1 species